rnacentral:rRNA from 1 species
AUUGAACGCUGGCGGCAGGCCUAACACAUGCAAGUCGGGCGAGUGGCGGACGGGUGAGUAAUGUAUGGGGAUCUGCCUGAUGGAGGGGGAUAACUACUGGAAACGGUAGCUAAUACCGCAUACCAUCAGAUGAACCCAUAUGGGAUUAGCUAGUAGGUGGGGUAACGGCUUACCUAGGCGACGAUCCCUAGCUGGUCUGAGAGGAUGAACAUCCACACGGGAACUGUGACACGGCCCAGACUCCUACGGUAGGCAGCAGUGGGGAAUUUUGCACAAUGGGCGCAAGCUGGAUGCAGCCAUGCCGCGUCUAUGAAGAAGGCCUUCGGGUUGUAAAGUACUUUCAGUCGGUAGGCGUUACCUGCAGAAGAAGCACCGGCUAACUCCGUGCCAGCAGCCGCGGUAAUUC